UUUAGGGCAGGAAUUGUUCCUCAUGUCCAUCUAAAGCUCCCCUGGUGCAGCUUGAGGCCGCUUCCUCUUGUCCUGUCCCUUGGGAGAACAGACCAACCGAGGGAGUUAAGGCAAGGAAGAAGUGCGAUGGUGCGGCUGCUGAGCCACCACAUCCUGCCAUCAGCCUCUCCUGCCCCAAGCUGGGGCCAUCCCCAUCACCCACCUGGGUUACCCCAGUGGAGCGUGGCACUGCCUGGUGCUGGCACCCACCCCUGCACCCCAAUCAGAGGACAAUGUGUGGGGGCUGCCUGGAGCAGGGAUGCUGCCAGCGGCCUCCACUCCACCGUUUCCAGCAGAGACACCCCUGGCUUCUCCUCCUGCCCUCGGGGUGCCCUGGGCGAAGCCGUUUACAGGACCCAGCUCCUCUUCCCCGCUGCUGCUGGGUGUGUGAGAUGCUCCCACACUCUGCUCCAUAGAAACAAUCAGGAAUCCACAGCAAACCCCUGCCCGGCGCUCCUGGCCUGCUCCCCAGUGCAUGGAGGCGUCUGGAAAAGCCCCUUUCUCCCCAAAACUGGUACCAGCCAUUUCCCCAUUCACUCCUGAGCCAUUCCAGGGCUGCAUCCCCCUUCAUGGACCCCGGAGCCCCCAUCCUUAUGUUCUUCAUCCUUGUGUUCCCUGUGAGGAGCAGGAAACAAGGGGCAUCUGCACCUCAGGAAUGGGAGGGAAAGGCCAUGGGUCCAGUUUUGGGGGUGCUCUCUGCGCUCUCACCACAUGCUCCCUUUGCUGUUUGGAGGCAAUGGUGCUCUCACCCAUCACAGGCAAGUGUGCUGUGCGAGCAUCACACCCUGUUUGGGCCACAGAGCAUUCCAGGGGUGUGAAAAUACUGGGCAUGGUCUGUAAUUCCUGGGAAGAGCUGGGCUGGUUUGUGGCUCAGCCCCAAGUGCAGCAUCUUUUGCCCACCUCAAGGGAGUAAAUGAGGUGCCCAACGCAUGGCUGAGAUAAAUACUGUGCUGAGAGUCCCUAAGAGUAACCUCAGGGCACACAGCUCCUGCUGUAUGGAUUUCCUUCCUUUGUUCCUUUUAGGACAUUGCUCCAGCUCCUGCUCUCUUUGCCCACAGCCAGCUCCCUCCCUCGAGCGAGGGCUUGGCUGCCUGCAUCUUGCUCCCUUUCCCCUGCAAGGCUGGGAUGCUGAUGUGUAAGCUCCGAUGUGUAAGCUCCGAUGUGUAAGCUCCGAUGUGUAAGCUCCGGGUCUCUUUGGCUCCCCAGGUCCUCCAAGGCUGCAGCAGCGGCUGCGAGGAGCAGGCAGCCAGGAAGCCGCCCCUAUAGACGCUGCGAUAUUCCUCCAGGAUCCAUCCCGCCUGUGCUUGGAGUGGGAACGUGCGCUUCAGAAGCAGCGUGGGGAUUAACGGGCUGUACGGAACAGGGCAGCCUCCCUGUGUGUCCAAGCCCCGCUCCAGCGGCUCCUCCGGAGCAUCCCGGCUCAAAGCUGCACUUCCAGGGAAUCUGACCUUUCAUUAAUAACCCAGCUGUGUUAGUGGAGGGAUGAAUAAUACAUGAGCAGAGCCAGCCCUGCGCUAAA